UACGUAGGGGGCAAGCGUUGUCCGGAUUUAUUGGGCGUAAAGAGCGUGUAGGCGGCCAGACAGGUCCGCUGUGAAAACUCGAGGCUCAACCUCGAGAUGUCGGUGGAAACCGUCUGGCUAGAGUCCGGAAGAGGAGAGUGGAAUUCCCGGUGUAGCGGUGAAAUGCGCAGAUAUCGGGAAGAACACCCGUGGCGAAGGCGGCUCUCUGGGACGGUACUGACGCUGAGGAACGAAAGCUAGGGGAGCAAACAGG
rnacentral:rRNA from 1 species